UUAAGCGUGCUGGGGCUGGAGAACUCAGGGCAUCGCCUUCAGAUGGUCAAUGCUCACUCCAGAAAAGUGUUAGCUCCAAAAGCCUCAACUCGGUGGAUUGGAUGAAUGGGUCAGUGAGGCCGAAUUUCCUGGACUUCCAAGGGCUAGACUUCGAGGUGGCAUUAGGGCUGAGGAGGGCUCACAACGAAGGAGAUAUUCAGAAUCUUGGUGCCAAUACCCCUCGGCCUAGGAACGCGGGAAAUGCACACACAUCUGGUGAGAGGCUAAUAACCAUUGGUGACUUAAAGAGUGUGGAAAGGAAGUAGAAGCCCUCCAGGUACAGGAAGAAGAUCUGGAGGAACUUUGGCUGAAAGAUCAAGAUGGACGACGGCGACGUACCCAAGCUGAACAAGUAGGAACAUGGAAGGCCGGCUAGGUUGCCGCGAAGCCAGCAGAGGAAGGAAGAAAGGGCUGCAUGGAAGGAAUUUGAGCUACUGCUGAGCUUCC